rnacentral:rRNA from 1 species
GACGAACGCUGGCGGCGUGCCUAAUACAUGCAAGUAGAACGCUGAAGGAGGAGCUUGCUUCUCUGGAUGAGUUGCGAACGGGUGAGUAACGCGUAGGUAACCUGCCUGGUAGCGGGGGAUAACUAUUGGAAACGAUAGCUAAUACCGCAUACGAGUAGAUGUCGCAUGACAUUUGCUUAAAAGGUGCAAUUGCAUCACUACCAGAUGGAACUGCGUUGUAUUAGCUAGUUGGUGAGGUAACGGCUCACCAAGGCAACGAUACAUAGACGACCUGCGAGGGUGAUCGGCCACACUGGGACUGAGGCACGGCCCAGACUCCUACGGGAGGCAGCAGUAGGGAAUCUUCGGCAAUGGACGGAAGUCUGACCGAGCAACGCCGCGUGAGUGAAGAAGGUUUUCGGAUCGUAAAGCUCUGUUGUAAGAGAAGAACGAGUGUGAGAGUGGAAAGUUCACACUGUGACGGUAUCUUACCAGAAAGGGACGGCUAACUACGUG